rnacentral:lncRNA from 1 species
UGCAUGUUCAGGACGAUAAACACCAUGUAAAACUAUUUCCUAAUCAAUUCAAUAACUUAUAUUGAUUGUCGUAUUAAUUUCAUAUGACAACAGUAUACAAUAUACAUACGAUCAAUCUUUACUUGCAUAAUUGAUUUCCAUUAUACAAUGUUAUUAGGUAAUAUGCAUUGCAACAAGUAGUUCAUUUUUUUCCAUACAUUAUUGUCUUACAUAUAUCUUUCUUCACGGCUAGAAGUGGUGUUAUGUCCCUUUGUAAAACAAGAGAGUUGAGGAAAAAUCU